rnacentral:rRNA from 1 species
UACGUAGGGGGCAAGCGUUGUCCGGAUUUACUGGGCGUAAAGCGCGCGUAGGUGGAGCGAUCAGUCCGGUCUGAAAGCCCCCGGCUCAACCGGGGAGGGUGGCUGGAAACUGUCGUUCUUGAGGGCGAGAGAGGAGGGUGGAAUUCCGUGGUGUAGCGGUGAAAUGCGUAGAGAUCGAGGAGGAACCACCCGUGGCGAAGGCGGCCCUCUGGGCUCGACCCUGGACGCUGGAGGCGACGAAAGCCGUGGGGAGCGAACGGG